GAUGAAGAACGUAGCGAAAUGCGAUAAGUAGUGUGAAUUGCAGAAUUACCUGAAUCGUCGAAUCUUUGAACGCACAUUGCGCCCCCUGGUAUUCCUGGGGGCAUGCCUGUUCGAGCGUCAUUAACAACCAAUCGGGCGGGGCUUUUGCAUGCUCCCGCUCGGCCAUGGGGGAUGGACGUCGUCGGACGCCCACCCCCGAAAUGCAACGGCGGACGGCCACCCGUGGCACUGCGGCGUAGUAAGUUAACCCUUCGCGCGCGCCCACGGAGUGGACUGCCCGGCCGCUUGAACCCCCACACAUCCUACGGUUGACCUCGGAUCAGGUAGGGAUACCCGCUGAACUUAAGCAUAUCAAUAAGCGGAGGA
rnacentral:misc_RNA from 1 species